rnacentral:rRNA from 1 species
GACGAACGCUGGCGGCGUGCUUAACACAUGCAAGUCGAACGGUGAAGCGCCUUCCUUUUUGGUGGGUGUGGAUGAUUGGCGAACGGGUGAGUAACACGUGAGUAACCUGCCCCCUUCUUCUGGCUAACCGCAUGAACGUGUGGCUAAUACGGGAUAUUCUGGGUCUGUCGCAUUAUGGGUCUGGGAAAUCUAUUGUUUCGGUGGGGGAUGGGCUCGCGGCCUAUCAGCUUGUUGGUGGGGUGACGGCCUACCAAGGCGGCGACGGGUAGCCGGCCUGAGAGGGUGGACGGACAAACAGGGAGUGAGACACCGAGCAGACACAUACGGGAGGCAGCAGUGGGGAAUAGUGCACAAUGGGCGCAAGCCUGAUGCAGCGAAGCCGCGGGAGGGACGGAGGCCGUCGGGUGGUGAACCUCUUACGCGAGUGAAGCAGGACUGCCUGGUUUGUGGGUGGGUUGACGGUAGCUGGAUAAGAAGCGCCGGCAAACUACGUG